rnacentral:pre_miRNA from 1 species
AUGUGACACUUUUCGGAUUUCGAGAUUCAAACAAGUCUAACUUUGACCGUACAUUUUUCAUAGAUCUUUUAAACAUUUUGAAUUAUCAAUUGUUGUGACUUAUAGUACUUUUUAUGUAGUUUACAAAUAUAUAAAUUUCAUUUUUAAAAAAAAUGAAGAUUUCAUGCGCAAAUUCCCGAUCAAACUUAAAUUGUUUGACUUUCGAAAAAUGAAAAGUACCACAUAA